ACGGGGUGCAGCAGGCGCGAAACCUCCGCAAUGCGGGAAACCGCGACGGGGUUAGCCGGAGUGCCCGUGCAUUGCACGGGCUGUCGGGGUGCCUAAACAGCACCCCAUAGCAAGGGCCGGGCAAGGCCGGUGGCAGCCGCCGCGGUAAGACCGGCGGCCCGAGUGGCGGCCACUCUUAUUGGGCCUAAAGCGUCCGUAGCCGGCCCAGUAAGUCCCCCGGGAAAUCUGGUCGCUUAACGAUCAGACUUCCGGGGGAUACUGCUGGGCUAGGGACCGGGAGAGGCCGAGGGUAUUCCCGGGGUAGGGGUGAAAUCCUGUAAUCCCGGGAGGACCACCUGUGGCGAAGGCGCUCGGCUGGAACGGGUCCGAUGGUGAGGGACGAAGGCCUGGGGAGCGAACCGGAUUAGAUACCCGGGUAGUCCAGGCUGUAAACGAUGCGGGCUAGGUGUCACCGGAGCUACGAGCUCCGGUGGUGCCGGAGGGAAGCCGUUAAGCCCGCCGCCUGGGAGGUACGGCCGCAAGGCUGAAACUUAAAGGAAUUGGCGGGGGAGCA
rnacentral:rRNA from 1 species